UACGUAGGGGGCAAGCGUUGUCCGGAAUCAUUGGGCGUAAAGAGCGUGUAGGCGGCCCGGUAAGUCCGCUGUGAAAGUCCAGGGCUCAACCCUGGAAGGCCGGUGGAAACUGUCGGGCUAGAGUCCGGAAGAGGAGAGUGGAAUUCCCGGUGUAGCGGUGAAAUGCGCAGAUAUCGGGAAGAACACCCGUGGCUAAGGCGGCUCUCUAGUACGGUACUGACGCUGAGACGCGAAAGCGUGGGGAGCGAACAGG
rnacentral:rRNA from 1 species